AUUGAACGCUGGCGGCAGGCCUAACACAUGCAAGUCGAACGAGUGGCGGACGGGUGAGUAACGUCUGGGAAACUGCCUGAUGGAGGGGGAUAACUACUGGAAACGGUAGCUAAUACCGCAUACCCUCGGAUGUGCCCAGAUGGGAUUAGCUAUUAGGUGGGGUAAAGGCUCACCUUGGCGACGAUCCCUAGCUGGUCUGAGAGGAUGACCAGCCACACUGGAACGGAGACACGGUCCAGACUCAUACGGGAGGAAUAGGUGGGGAAUAUUGCACAAUGGGCGCAAGCCUAAUGAGGCCAUGCCGCGUGUAUGAAGAAGGCCUUCGGGUUGUAAAGUACUUUCAGCGGGGAGGCGUUACCCGCAGAAGAAGCACCGGCUAACUCCGUGCCAGCAGCCGCGGUAAUUC
rnacentral:rRNA from 1 species